rnacentral:rRNA from 1 species
GCAUAAAGGGCAUCUAGGCGGCCAGAUAAGUCUGGGGUGAAAACUUGCGGCUCAACCGCAAGCCUGCCCUGGAAACUAUGUGGCUAGAGUACUGGAGAGGUGGACGGAACUGCACGAGUAGAGGUGAAAUUCGUAGAUAUGUGCAGGAAUGCCGAUGAUGAAGAUAGUUCACUGGACGGUAACUGACGCUGAAGUGCGAAAGCUAGGGGAGCAAACAGGAUUAGAUACCCUGGUAGUCCUAGCUGUAAACGAUGAUUACUGGGUGUGGGCAUGAAGAGUGUCCGUGCCGAAGCUAAUGCGAUAAGUAAUCCGCCUGGGGAGUACGGCCGCAAGGCUGAAACUCAAAGGAAUUGACGGGGACCCGCACAAGCGGUGGAGCAUGUGGUUUAAUUCGACGCAACGCGAGGAACCUUACCAGAUCUUGACAUCC